AUUGAACGCUGGCGGCAGGCUUAACACAUGCAAGUCGAACGAGUGGCGGACGGGUGAGUAAUGCCUGGGAAUCUAGCUUAUGGAGGGGGAUAACUACGGGAAACUGUAGCUAAUACCGCGUACCAUAGGAUGAGCCCAAGUGGGAUUAGGUAGUUGGUGAGGUAAAGGCUCACCAAGCCGGCGAUCUCUAGCUGGUCUGAGAGGAUGACCCGCAACACUGGGACUGUGACACGGCCCAGAAUCCUACGUGAGGCAGCAGUGAGGAAUAUUGCGCAAGGAGGGCAAGCUGACGCGGCCAUGGCGGGUGACUGAAGAAGGCCUUCGGGUUGUAAAGUUCUUUCGGUAGCGAGGCGUUAACUACAGAAGAAGCACCGGCUAACUCCGUGCCAGCAGCCGCGGUAAUUC
rnacentral:rRNA from 1 species